UAAGCCGAGAGAAGAGAAAAGGGGGGAGAUAGAGAGAUUUUUCAUAUACAAAAAUCGUGAUUUUUGAAGAUUAAACGAUCCGAUCUUCGAUCUGUCUUCGGAUAUGAGAUCCUUGCACUCGGAUCUACGUUACUAUCGUUCGCUUUGAGGUAUUUGAGCUUGUCGAAAAUUGCUUGCAGCUAUCCAAACCUUAGGUUUUGGUUUGGUGAUCUUGUGCGGCACGUUGCGGGUCAAACCUAGGAUUGUUGGAAUUAGGAGUACGAGCAAUCCAAGGUGAGUAUUCUACUCACUGAGAAAAGUUACUUUUUAUGUAUUUUAUAGGAAUGCAAAUAAUGUGUUUUUAUAUUGAACCAACAAUAUGUUAAUUAUAUGUUUUUGAUGUUUUGAGUAGCUUUAAUUAUGUUGAAAUAUGACAAUAAUGUUUAUGUGAUUUAAGAUGAUUUGAGAUAUGAGUAUGAAAUAUGUUUGACAUAUUGAGAUAUGAUUUGAAUUGUUUUAUAAUCUACUGCGGUUGGAAAGUUAAGUUAUGCAAAUUGUUUGAGAAAAUGACAUGUUGAACUAUUUAUGUUUUAUGAAGAAAGGAUGUGUUAAAGUCAUGUCCAUGAAAUUAAAUGUAUAGUAUUUGAGCAUGAGCAUUGAGCACGAUACGAACAAGACAGGGUUCAAUUCCCUUAAGCAAGCGAAUAAGACCGGGGUUCAAUUCCCUUAGGCAUUGAACAAGACCAGGGUUCAUUUCCCUUAAGCAAGCAAAUAAGACUGGGGUUCAAUUCCCUUAGGCAUCGAACAGGACCAGGGUUCAAUUCCCUUAAGCAAACGAAUAAGACCGGGGCUUAAUUUUCUUAGGCAUCGAACAAGACCGGGUUUCAAUUCCCUUAGGCAAACGAAUGACAAGCAUGCAUAGCAUUUGUUUUAUGAUAAUUGAAUUAUUUUCACGUUAUGAUAUAUAGUAGUUUUAUGCUAGACGUAUUAGUAUGCAUAAGAGUCUCAAUGGAAAAGAACUUAUGUAUAUUUCUGUCGGAUGGUUGCAUGAUUUAAAUUCUAUUAUUUUCUACGUCCCACUGCAUCAAAAGUAUUAUAGUAGGGGAGGAUGAAUGUAGUUGUUUCCAAAAAUGGAACUUCUACAUAAAUGCUCAGCUGCGUAGUAUGUUUUAAAUGUUUUCUAUUAGUCGGUGUUUGCUAUAUCAGCUAUAGGAGUUUUCAAACAAAAGUUUAUAAAAUUUGUGGCUGUUAUAGUGUACGCAUGACUAGAAAAGAAAAGUUGGUUCUUUGCGAAAACUCAGUGAAUAGUAUACCUCUGAGGUCUUAAUGUAUUUAUUUAUGCUAAGAUGGUGGGCUCAUAAUUCCACCUAUACGGAUAUGGCAAACCCCCACAACCGUAUAGAUGCUCAUUUGGCUGCAAGUACACCAAAGUUAGAUGACGAUCCAAUAGCAUAUUAUUUGGGAUAUUACAACAGAAGCCCGCAGCGACAAUUGUAAUGGGAUGGACUAUAGUGUCCUCUCUUUUGGUAUAUUUUGUAUAUGGCUUGUGACGUGGGUGCCACCUAUUCUUUUGUAUAAGCCAUUCUUUUGUUAUAUGAUGUAAUGAUGUUAAGCCUUAAACAGAUAGACA